rnacentral:tRNA from 1 species
AGAAAGUUAGUUUAGGCUAGAAUUUAGGGUUGUCAACCCUGAGGGGCUAGUUAUUAGCACUUUCUU